UACGUAGGCAGCAAGCGUUGUUCGGAAUUACUGGGCGUAAAGAGUGUGUAGGCGGUGCUCUAAGUUUGGUGUGAAAUCUCCCGGCUUAACUGGGAGGGUGCGCCGAAAACUGGAAUGCUUGAACAUGGGAGAGGAAAGCGGAAUUCCUGGUGUAGCGGUGAAAUGCGUAGAUAUCAGGAGGAACACCUGCGGUGUAGACGGCUUUCUGGACCAUUGUUGACGCUGAGACACGAAAGCCAGGGGAGCGAACGGG
rnacentral:rRNA from 1 species